GAUGAAGAACGCAGCGAAAUGCGAUACGUAGUGUGAAUUGCAGAAUUCAGUGAAUCAUCGAAUCUUUGAACGCACAUUGCGCCCUAUGGUAUUCCGUAGGGCAUGCCUGUUCGAGCGUCAUUCAAACCUUCAAGCUCUGCUUGGUGUUGGGCGUCUGUCCUGCCUCACGGCGCGGACUCGCCUCAAAUCUAUUGGCGGCCGGCACGUUGGCUUCGAGCGCAGCAGAAACGCGAACUCGAGACCGGCGGAUCGGCUCCCAGAAGCUACCCCCAUGAAUUUGACCUCGGAUCAGGUAGGGAUACCCGCUGAACUUAAGCAUAUCAAUAAGCGGAGGA
rnacentral:misc_RNA from 1 species